CGGAUCCUUCGGGGUUAGUGGCGGACGGGUGAGUAACACGUGGGAACGUGCCUUUUGGUUCGGAAUAGCUCCUGGAAACGGGUGGUAAUGCCGAAUGUGCCCUUCGGGGGAAAGAUUUAUCGCCAUUAGAGCGGCCCGCGUCUGAUUAGCUAGUUGGUGAGGUAAAGGCUCACCAAGGCGACGAUCAGUAGCUGGUCUGAGAGGAUGACCAGCCACAUUGGGACUGAGACACGGCCCAAACUCCUACGGGAGGCAGCAGUGGGGAAUCUUGCGCAAUGGGCGAAAGCCUGACGCAGCCAUGCCGCGUGAAUGAUGAAGGUCUUAGGAUUGUAAAAUUCUUUCACCGGGGACGAUAAUGACGGUACCCGGAGAAGAAGCCCCGGCUAACUUCGUGCCAGCAGCCGCGGUAAUACGAAGGGGGCUAGCGUUGCUCGGAAUUACUGGGCGUAAAGGGAGCGUAGGCGGACAUUUAAGUCAGGGGUGAAAUCCCAGAGCUCAACUCUGGAACUGCCUUUGAUACUGGGUGUCUUGAGUGUGAUAGAGGUAUGUGGAACUCCGAGUGUAGAGGUGAAAUUCGUAGAUAUUCGGAAGAACACCAGUGGCGAAGGCGACAUACUGGAUCAUUACUGACGCUGAGGCUCGAAAGCGUGGGGAGCAAACAGGAUUAGAUACCCUGGUAGUCCACGCCGUAAACGAUGAUUGCUAGUUGUUGGGAUGUUUACAUCUCGGUGACGCAGCUAACGCAUUAAGCAAUCCGCCUGGNGAGUACGGUCGCAAGAUUAAAACUCAAAGGAAUUGACGGAGGCCCGCACAAGC
rnacentral:rRNA from 1 species